GAAACCCUCCUGGGUCGACCCGACCGCGCCGCCCCCCUCGCGGGAGCGUCGCCCCGCCGGCCGCCGGCCGCCGCCCUCCUUUCUCGCAGCAGCGGCGCCCCACCGGCCGCCGGCCUCCUUCCUCGCGGCAGCGUCGUUCCUCCUUCCUCUCGGCAGGUGCGCUUCUCCACGCGUCGCGCGGGGCUCUUCAAGAAGGCCUUCGAGCUCUCGCUGCUCUGCGACGCCGAUGUCGCGCUCCUCGUCUUCUCCCCCGCCGGCAAGCUCUACGAGUACGCCUCCGCAAGGCAUAGAUGGAGUGGGAAAUAUGAAGCUCAUUUGUGGGACAUUUCUUGCAGAGUAGAAGGACAUAGAAGAAAAGGGAAAUAAGGUUUCAUAUAUGGCAUGCUGUUUCCCGCAUUUGUUUCAGUCUAUUCUCAUUUAUCUAUCAGUGUGCGAUUAUCAUGAGUAGUGUGUUCUUUUGCAGUGGUAGAACAUGACUAGGAUUGUUUCCAGUUAAUAGAAGAGCACAAUUUUGUAUAGCACUCUCCAGGCCACAUUUCACUUAGCACAAACUACACUCAGUCAUAGAAUACUUAAAAAUGUUAUGUUUCUUUCAUUGUCGGGUCAACACUGAAGUUGUUUUUUGGGUAUCAUAUAACUCUAUCAUCUGUCCAAGAUCCCCACCUGCACAUUAAGAUUGUUCUGUGCCUUAUUCUGAUCCUUUCACUUACUAUUGUUGGCAUUGCACACUUGGAUGACCAUUAAUAUACAGCAAAAGUAGCUCGGUAGUCGGUAUACAUUUAGUACAUUUAGUUGUGGUGAUAGUUUGCUGUGCGCCUAGUUAAAUCUCACAUUUCACUGCCUUUCAAAUAUCUCUGGAUCUCUGUUUUCUAAGUUCUAGCUACAUAACUUCAAAAGUAGCUGCAUCCUUUAUCACAAUGUGGUUCUGAUACAGCUAGGAAUAUUUGUGGACAAAUGAUAAUUUUGUUGUAUUUGGUGAUCGGAAGAUUAACUGGAUGAAGCAUGAGCAUUUUCAAUUAUAAAUAUAUCUGGCAGAAUUUCAAUGGAGCAGAUUCAUUUUGUAGGAUUCAUCCAAGAUACAAAAUAAUUGAUGCUGACGGUAAUAGUGACAGGCUGAGAUCAAUGAUGUUUAUCAAACAAAUAUUCAGAUCCAUAUGGUGCCUAACAUCCAUUUUGAUCAUUUACUGAAACAAUAUGUGUUGUGUUGAAAGCUUGAACUCGGUAAUGUAAUGAUGUAUUUGACUACUGAGACUUUGGGCUUCGUUUGUAUUUUGUAAUCCAUGUCUGAAUGCUAUGGCUUUGGAGGUAUUUUGAUUUGCAGGAAGGAUUUUUCUUGAGGCU